rnacentral:lncRNA from 1 species
CUGGGGGCGGGGCGGCCUGGGAUGAGGACCUGGAGAGGUGAGUCCUUGGAGAGAAGAUCCAGGUGUGUCACUGGAGCCGUCCCAGGAGGGACUGUGGCGCCCGAGAUGCGGCUGGCAUCCGUCUGUUGGGGUCUGAGCUGUGGCGGCCACAGGGCCUGGAGAGGCUGCUGAGGCUGUUUUAAACUGUAACUGGAAGAUCAAAAAGAGUUUAGGGGAAAAUCCACGGCACCUGGACCAGCCCUCCUGGCACUGCCCUCGCAGUGCGGUUUCACAGGGGCUACUGGGAGGUGCGUCUCCCUGCCUGGACCGAGACCGGGACCAAACAGAGAAGCCUGCAGGGCCAGGAGUUCUAUGGAGAUGGCUCCUCCCAGACGGCAGUGGGGACCCUCAGGGUUGGCCACAGGCUUUGGUGAUGUCUGCAGAUAAGAUGAGAUUCUCCAUGUGGUGUUCAGGCCGUUUUCGUGAGGAAUAAGUGAAAAGCGCCUCACACAUGCUGGGGAAAGGCAAUGUCCUAUCCUAAGGCCAUGCUGAUGAUGGGGUGAGGCUGCCUUCCUGAGCCCCACCCUCCACAUCUGACCACACCUAACUCCAAACCUCUACCCACACUGCUGCCUGGCUCUGCGGGGCCGUCACCGGGCGUCGGACGGACAAUCCCAGCCUCACCCCUGCACAACCUGCUCUCCCCACUGCCUGGCUCUGUGGGGACACUGUGAACGCCAUCAACACACAGCCCGGGGUCGCUGUCUGGGACGUGCCCAUUAAGUCACGAUAAACGGUUUUUACUAAAAGCUUAGGCACCAAUAGAGGCCUGCUGAGGGCGGUGGAGAGGACACCAGAGUGGGUAUGUGGAGGUGAUGAUUUCACGAAUUAACCGACUAAUCUAACAUCCAGGGAACAGGAUUUCCACAUAAACUAGCUCUUCUCUAAGACACUGAAGUCUGGGAGAAGCCACAGUGACUCUUUGGGAGCACCAUGAAGAGCCAGGACAGGGAGAGAUGGAGAGAGGGAGG